rnacentral:tRNA from 1 species
GGGAGUGUGGUCUAGUGGUAUGAUACCCGCUUUGGGUGCGGGUGGCCCGGGGUUCAAUUCCCCGCUCUCCCC